rnacentral:rRNA from 1 species
CAAUGAAAUUAAAUAGCUGCAGUAUUUUGACUGUACAAAGGUAGCAUAAUCAUUAGUUUCUUAAUUAGAAGCUUGUAUGAAUGGCUUGAUGAGAAAAUAGCUGUCUUAAUUUAAAUUAAAUUGAAUUUUAUUUUUAAGUCAAAAAGCUUAAGUGAAAUUAAAAGACGAGAAGACCCUAUAGAGUUUAAUAUUUUAUUUAUUAUAGAAUUUAGGUAUUAAAUUUUUAUUAAUAAAGUAAAGUAUUUUGUUGGGGUGACAAUAAAAUUAGCUUAACUUUUUAUAAUAUAUUCAUUAAUAUAUGUUUACUUGAUCCAUUAGUUAUGAUUAUAAGAUUAAAUUACCUUAGGGAUAACAGCGUAAUUUUUUUGGAGAGUUCUUAUCGAUAAAAAAGAUUGCGACCUCGAUGUUGGAUUAAAAUUAAUGAUUGGUGUAGAAGCUAAUAAAUUAAGUCUGUUCGACUUUUAAAAUUUUACAUGAUCUGAGUUUAAACCGGUGUAAGCCAGGUUGGUUUCUAUCUUUAAUACUUUAAUAUAUUUUAGUACGAAAGGACCGGGUAUAUUUAAUAUUUAAUAGAAUAAUUGAAUAAAAUUGUUACUUUGGCAGAUUAGUGCAUUAAAUUUAGAAUUUAAUUAUGUAUAUUUACAGGUAAUACUUGAUUUUAUUGGAUUAUUUAUUAAGCUUUAUUAGUAGGUUAUUAUUAUUAAUUUGUGUAUUAGUGGGGGUU